CCACCAGCUUCCAACUGUGAAUAAAACAGUUGAAGAAACACAGAGCAAUGGAAAGAGUUUGGCUGGUUACCAUGCUUGCACUUUCACUGAAUGGCCUCCAUCUUUUAACAGAGGUUUUCUGUCCAGGCCUGUUGUAACUGCAGCUGUAUAGAGCAUGGCUACUGAAGGGCAUGGCAAGCAGUCAGCUAAAGGAGCAAGUCUUUCCUUACGAAGCUGCACAUUCACAGAGCAUCCAGGUAAAACGAGAAGACAACAGCCACCCUACCAAAAGCUCUCAUCAGAGCAAUGAGGAGGUGUUCCCUGUUAAUACUGAGUGGGUGUACAAGCGGGCAUAGGUGCGCCAGCUCAAACACCACUGACUGAAGCCUUCACUUUCAAAUCAUUGACAUGACUGGUCAGUUGUACAACUACUGCACAUCCGUUAUGAUACAAUAAACAACCCAGAUCUGAAUAAAGGUAGAAGGAGAGAGAUAAUACUGAAAUUUACAUUUCAGUCAAUUCAGUAAUAACACUGGACAGAUAGAUUUGGAAUGUUCUCAAUUGGCAGCAAUUGUGAUAGA